rnacentral:rRNA from 1 species
CCUACGGGAUGCAGCAGUGGGGAAUAUUGCACAAUGGGCGCAAGCCUGAUGCAGCCAUGCCGCGUGUAUGAAGAAGGCCUUCGGGUUGUAAAGUACUUUCAGCGGGGAGGAAGGUGUUGUGGUUAAUAACCACAGCAAUUGACAUUACCCGCAGAAGAAGCACCGGCUAACUCCGUGCCAGCAGCCGCGGUAAUACGGAGGGUGCAAGCGUUAAUCGGAAUUACUGAGCGUAAAGCGCACGCAGGCGGUCUGUCAAGUCGGAUGUGAAAUCCCCGGGCUCAACCUGGGAACUGCAUUCGAAACUGGCAGGCUAGAGUCUUGUAGAGGGGGGUAGAAUUCCAGGUGUAGCGGUGAAAUGCGUAGAGAUCUGGAGGGAUACCGGUGGCGAAGGCGGCCCCUGGACAAUGACUGACGCUCAGGUGCGAAAGCGUGGGGAGCAAACAGGAUUAGAUACCCGAGUAGUC